GACAGAGGAUGCAAGCGUUAUCCGGAAUGAUUGGCGUAAAGCGUCUGUAGGUGGCUUUUAAGUCCGCCGUCAAAUCCAGGCUCAACCCUGGACAGGCGGUGGAAACUACCAAGCUGGAGUACGGUGAGGGCAGGAGGGUAAUUCGGGUGGAGCGGUGAAAUGACGUAGAGAUCGGAAAGAACACCAACGGCGAAAGCACUCUGCUGGGCCGACACUGACACUGAGAGACGAAAGCUAGGGGAGCGAAUGGG
rnacentral:rRNA from 1 species